AUGACCUCCAGUGCUGAGGAUAAAAAGGGGCUGGACCCUGCAGCUUCUGAGCAGCUGCAGGGUUGCAGGGGGGUUGGGUCGGGUGUAUUAGGAGGGUUUGUGUGCAGGGUUAUAUCACAGUGUAAUGUGUUAGGAGGUGGCACCAAGUUGACCGUCCUCGGUCAGCCCAAGGCUGCCCCCUCGGUCACUCUCUUCCCGCCCUCCUCUGAGGAGCUCCAAGCAAACAAGGCCACACUAGUGUGUCUGAUCAGUGACUUCUACCCGGGAGCCGUGGAAGUGGCCUGGAAGGCAGAUGGCAGCGCUGUCAACGCGGGAGUGGAGACCACCAAACCCUCCAAACAGAGCAACAACAAGUACGCGGCCAGCAGCUACCUGAGCCUGACGUCCGACCAGUGGAAGUCCCACAAGAGCUACAGCUGCCAGGUCACGCACGAAGGGAGCACCGUGGAGAAGACAGUGGCCCCUGCAGAAUGUUCAUAGGUUCCCAACCCUCACCUCACCCACUGGGGCCUGGAGCUGCAGGAUCCCAGGAGAGGGGUCUCUCUGCAUCCCAAGCCAUUCAGCCCUUCUCCCUGCACUCAAGAAACCUUCAAUAAAUAUCUUCAGUCAACCAAAAA